UACGAAGGGGGCUAGCGUUGCUCGGAAUCACUGGGCGUAAAGCGCACGUAGGCGGCUUUUUAAGUCAGGGGUGAAAUCCUGGAGCUCAACUCCAGAACUGCCUUUGAUACUGGGAAGCUCGAGUCCGGGAGAGGGUGAGUGGGAACUCCGAGUGUAGAGGUGAAAUUCGUAGAUAUUCGGAAGAACACCAGUGGCGAAGGGCGACUCA
rnacentral:rRNA from 1 species